rnacentral:rRNA from 1 species
NCUGUCCGGUGACAAUAAGUUUAACGGCCGCGGUAUUUUAACCGUGGUAAGGUAGCGUAAUCACUUGUCUUUUAAAUGAAGACCCGUAUGAAAGGUGUCACGAGGGUCCCCCUGUCUCCUACUUCAAGUCUGUGAAAUUGAUCUACCCGUGCAGAAGCGGGUAUAAGAACAUAAGACGAGAAGACCCUGUGGAGCUUAAGACUAAUCAACCAAUCGUGCCUAACAGCCUAUACACCCAAUAGGAGAUAAAAAGCUAACCAAGCAUAACGACCCCUGAUUGAACUGUCUUCGGUUGGGGCGACCAUGGGGGACAAAAAAGCCUCCAAGAGGANACAGGGGACCAGUUCAACCGAUCCCUAAGAACCAAGAGCCACCGCUCUAAGCAACAGAAAACUCUGGCCAAUAAUGAUCCAGACAUUAGCCUGAUCAACGAACCAAGUUACCCCAGGGAUAACAGCGCAAUCCUUUCCCAGAGCCCAUAUCGCCGAAAGGGUUUACGACCUCGAUGUUGGAUCAGGACAUCCUGGUGGCGAAAAUUCUACCAAGGGUUCGUU